rnacentral:rRNA from 1 species
GAUGAACGCUGACAGAAUGCUUAACACAUGCAAGUCCACUUGAACUUCGGUUUGGGUGGCGGACGGGUGAGUAACGCGUAAAGAACUUGCCUCACAGCUAGGGACAACAUUUGGAAACGAAUGCUAAUACCUGAUAUUAUGAUUAUAUGGCAUCGUAUAAUUAUGAAAGCUAUAUGCGCUGUGAGAGAGCUUUGCGUCCCAUUAGCUAGUUGGAGAGGUAACAGCUCACCAAGGCGAUGAUGGGUAGCCGGCCUGAGAGGGUGAUCGGCCACAAGGGGACGGAGACACGGCCCUUACUCCUACGGGAGGCAGCAGUGGGGAAUAUUGGACAAUGGACCGAGAGUCUGAUCCAGCAAUUCUGUGUGCACGAUGAAGUUUUUCGGAAUGUAAAGUGCUUUCAGUUGGGAAGAAAAAAAUGACGGUACCAACAGAAGAAGUGACGGCUAAAUACGUG